CCUACGGGAGGCAGCAGUGAGGAAUAUUGGUCAAUGGGCGCAAGCCUGAACCAGCCAAGUCGCGUGAGGGAUGACGGUCCUAUGGAUUGUAAACCUCUUUUGUCGGGGAGCAAGGCCCGCCACGUGUGGCGGGAAGGAGAGUACCCGAAGAAAAAGCAUCGGCUAACUCCGUGCCAGCAGCCGCGGUAAUACGGAGGUUGCGAGCGUUAUACGGAUUUAUUGGGUUUAAAGGGUGCGUAGGCGGAAGGUUAAGUCAGCGGUAAAAUGUCGGUGCUCAACACCGGCCUGCCGUUGAAACUGGUCUUCUUGAGUGAGCGAGAAGUAUGCGGAAUGCGUGGUGUAGCGGUGAAAUGCAUAGAUAUCACGCAGAACUCCGAUUGCGAAGGCAGCAUACCGGCGCUCAACUGACGCUGAGGCACGAAAGCGUGGGGAUCGAACAGGAUUAGAUACCCUGGUAGUC
rnacentral:rRNA from 1 species